UACGAGGGGGGCAAGCGUUGUUCGGAAUUAUUGGGCGUAAAGGGUGCGUAGGCGGUUUGGUAAGUCUUAUGUGAAAUCUACAGGCUCAACUUGUAGUCUGCAUGAGAAACUGCCGGGCUUGAGUAUGGGAGAGGUGAGUGGAAUUCCUGGUGUAGCGGUGAAAUGCGUAGAUAUCUACAGGAACUCCGGUGGCGAAAGCGGCGUGCUGGACCUUUUCUGACGCUGAGGCGCGAAAGCUAGGGGAGCAAACGGG
rnacentral:rRNA from 1 species